CUAAGGUCCCAAAGUGCGUGUUAAGUGGAAAAGGAUGUGGGAUUUCGAAGACAACCAGGAUGUUGGCUCAGAAGCAGCCACACAUUCAAAGAGUGCGUAAUAGCUCACUGGUCGAGAGGUCCUGCGCCGAAAAUGUCCGGGGCUCAAACACGCCACCGAAGCCCAGGAAUGCAGUAAUGCAUUGGUAGAGGAGCAUUGUUAGUGCAUCGAAGCUGUACCGGCAAGGAGCAGUGGAGCGCUAAGAAGAGAGAAUGCCGGAAUGAGUAGCGAGAAAGAGGUGGGAAUCCUCUUGGCCGAAUAUCCAAGGAUUCCGGGGUAAAGCUGAUCUGCCCCGGGUAAGUCGGGACCUAAGGCGAGGCAGAAAUGCGUAGCCGAUGGACAGCAGGUGGAGAUUCCUGCACUGCCAUAUAUCAGAAAUGUGGGGACGCAUCAGGAAAGUGUGAGCCGGGAAAGGAAAGACCGGUGCAAGCGAAGGAAGGGACAUGCAGGCAAAACCGCAUGUCAACCGGAGAGCGUUACGCGGAGCGAAGAAUAGUAGCGAAGCACACGGACAGGGUGCCGAGAAAAGCCGCUAUCGUGUAUAUGGUACCCGUACCGUAAACCGACACAGGUGGAUGAGGAGAGAAUCCUAAGGCCGGCGGGAGAAGCAUUGUUAAGGAACUCGGCAAAAUGACCCCGUAACUUCGGGAGAAGGGGUGCCCUGUGAAAGCAGGGCCGCAGAGAAUAGGCUCAAGCAACUGUUUAGCAAAAACACAGGUCUAUGCGAAACCGAAAGGUGAGGUAUAUGGGCUGACGCCUGCCCGGUGCUGGAAGGUUAAGAGGAGAGGUUAGCGCAAGCGAAGCUUUGAAUUUAAGCCCCAGUAAACGGCGGCCGUAACUAUAACGGUCCUAAGGUAGCGAAAUUCCUUGUCGGGUAAGUUCCGACCCGCACGAAAGGCGUAAUGAUUUGAGCGCUGUCUCGACAAUGCAUCCGGUGAAAUUGAAGUACCAGUGAAGAUGCUGGUUACCCGCGCCAGGACGGAAAGACCCCAUGGAGCUUUACUCCAGUUUGGUACUGGGAUUCGGUACUGCACGUACAGGAUAGGUGGGAGACUAAGAAACUUGAACGCCAGUUUGAGUGGAGUCGCUGUUGGGAUACCACCCCUGCAGUAUUGGAUUUCUAACCAGUCACCGUGAUCCGGUGAUGGGACAAUGCCAGGCGGGGAGUUUGACUGGGGCGGUCGCCUCCGAAAGGGUAUCGGAGGCGCUCAAAGGUUCCCUCAGAAUGGUUGGAAACCAUUCGAAGAGUGCAAAGGCAGAAGGGAGCUUGACUGCGACACCGACGGGUGGAGCAGGUACGAAAGUAGGACUUAGUGAUCCGGUGGUAUUAAGUGGGAAUGCCAUCGCUCAACGGAUAAAAGCUACCCUGGGGAUAACAGGCUUAUCACUCCCAAGAGUUCACAUCGACGGAGUGGUUUGGCACCUCGAUGUCGGCUCAUCGCAUCCUGGGGCUGUAGCAGGUCCCAAGGGUUGGGCUGUUCGCCCAUUAAAGCGGUACGCGAGCUGGGUUCAGAACGUCGUGAGACAGUUCGGUCCCUAUCCGGCGCGGGCGGAGGAUAUUUGAGAGGAGCUGUCCUUAGUACGAGAGGACCGGGAUGGACGGACCACUGGUGUAUCUGUUGGCUGUCAGAGCCAUGGCAGAGUAGCCAAGUCCGGCAGGGAUAAACGCUGAAGGCAUCUAAGCGUGAAGCCCCCCUCAAGAUGAGAUAUCCCAUUCGAAAGAAGUAAGACCCCUUGAAGACGACGAGGUUGAUAGGGCAGGGGUGGAAGUGCCGUAAGGCAUGGAGCUGACUGCUACUAAUCGGUCGAGGGCUUGACCAA
rnacentral:rRNA from 1 species